rnacentral:tRNA from 4 species
CGCGGGGUGGAGCAGCGGUAGCUCGUUGGGCUCAUAACCCAAAGGUCGCAGGUUCGAAUCCUGCCCCCGCAA